rfam:Triticum aestivum genome assembly, contig: Triticum_aestivum_CS42_TGACv1_scaffold_049399_1BS
UUAUUACUCCCUCCGUCCGGAAAUACUUGUCAUCAAAAUUGAUAAACGGGGACAUAUCUAGGUGUAUUUUAGUUCUACAUACAUCUCUUUUUAUCCAUUUUGAUGACAAGUAUUUCCGGACGGAGGGAGUAUAUC